UCCCUGGUAGUCCAGUGGUUAGGACUUGGCACUGUCCCUGCCAGGGUCCAGGUUCAGUUCCUGGUUGGGGAA